rnacentral:rRNA from 1 species
CUCAGCAGCCACGUCACCUGAAACUCAUCUGAAGCUAUGCAGGUUUGGGUCUGACUGGUACUUGGAUGGGGGACCAACUAGGUAAGAUGGGUCGCUGCUGGAA